rnacentral:lncRNA from 1 species
AUUUCACUUGACUGGGCGGAGUUUAACCGAUUCGCUCACAAUAACCCAGUCCAUCUAUAGAUAGGUGUUUUAGGAUAAACUCAUCAAUGAAGUGUCCAGUCAUUGAUUUGUAAAUUCCUUUGUGACACUGAAGGUAUUAGAAAUCAGUAAUAGUUAUAACAGCAAUCAUCCUUAUCACACACAUCUUCUAAUAGACUGUCCUUAUGCAAAUGAAAACGUAAGCUCCGCCCG